GACGGAGCGACACCGCGUGAAGGAUGAAGCCCUUUUUGGGUGUAAACUUCUGUUCUGAGGGACAAAACUUUUGACGCGUACCUCAGGAGAAAAGCACCGGCUAAUUCCGUGCCAGCAGCCGCGGUAAUACGGAAGGUGCAAGCGUUACUCGGAAUUACUGGGCGUAAAGCGUCCGCAGGCUUUCUUCCAAGUCUGGUGUAAAAGCACGGAGCUCAACUCCGUUACGUACCGGAAACUAGAAGGAUAGAGUCAUGCAGAGGCAUCUGGAAUUCCAUGU
rnacentral:rRNA from 1 species